GUUGGGCUCUGAGGGUUUUCCUGAAGAGCUGUGUGGUGUGGGCUCAGCUCACUGAGCCUCCCUCCACUGAUGGCCAGGUCAUUCCUGCUUGCUCCUGGACCCCCAGCCUGGCCUGCCCACUGCCUGCCUCCCUGGAAUAAACUGCUUGGAGUCCACCCCCAACCCUCCCUGUUCAGAGUAUGCCCUAAACAGUAGAAAUGUGUGAAGGCUGAAAGGUACUGAACUACUAACUUGCACAGGAAAUACAGUGGUUAACAAGAUAGAUGUGCUCUCAAAAUUGAACAUUCCAGGGGUGGAAAAGGCAAUUUUAAAGAAGUAAGCAUAAACCACCUCUCACUUCUCCACAAAGUCUACCUAGUCUUCUUCAGGAGCCACCUCCAAGGAUGUGUUCCCAACAUUCUCAUCCACAGCUGUCUUCCUCCCCUCCAAAGUGCCACAUGAUACCACAGAGACACAGACAAGGUCCCCACUCCCCUGGAAGCCUGACUUCUUUAGUGGGGGCAAAUGGUAUGAAAGAAGCAAAACCCAAAGCCCCAUGAGAGCAAGGACUGCCUGUUUUGUUGGUUGAUGUGUGCCUGGUGCCUAGACCAGUGCCUUCAACUAACAGGAACCUGGUUAAUAUUCACUGAAUGAAGGAAAUAAAUAAAUUU